rnacentral:rRNA from 1 species
UAGGGAAUCUUCCGCAAUGGGCGAAAGCCUGACGGAGCAACGCCGCGUGAGUGAUGAAGGUCUUCGGAUCGUAAAACUCUGUUAUUAGGGAAGAACAAAUGUGUAAGUAACUAUGCACGUCUUGACGGUACCUAAUCAGAAAGCCACGGCUAACUACGUGCCAGCAGCCGCGGUAAUACGUAGGUGGCAAGCGUUAUCCGGAAUUAUUGGGCGUAAAGCGCGCGUAGGCGGUUUUUUAAGUCUGAUGUGAAAGCCCACGGCUCAACCGUGGAGGGUCAUUGGAAACUGGAAAGCUUGAGUGCAGAAGAGGAAAGUGUAAUUCCAUGUGUAGCGGUGAAAUGCGCAGAGAUAUGGAGGAACACCAGUGGCGAAGGCGACUUUCUGGUCUGUAACUGACGCUGAUGUGCGAAAGCGUGGGGAUCAAACAGG